rnacentral:rRNA from 1 species
CGAGGCAAACCGGGGAAACUGAAACAUCUCAGUACCCCGAGGAAAAGAAAUCAACCGAGAUUCCCCCAGUAGCGGCGAGCGAACAGGGAGCAGCCCAGAGUCAACAUCAAUAUUUACCGCAGGAGAAAGAUCUGGAAAGGCCGGCAAUAAUGGGUGAUAGCCCCGUAUCUGAAGCGGUAAGUGUUGUGAACUCGAAGAGUAAGGCGGGACACGUGUUAUCCUGUCUGAAUAUGGGGGGACCAUCCUCCAAGGCUAAAUACUCCUGACUGACCGAUAGUGAACCAGUACCGUGAGGGAAAGGCGAAAAGAACCCCGGCGAGGGGAGUGAAAUAGAACCUGAAACCGUGUACGUACAAGCAGUAGGAGCACCCGAAAAGGUGUGACUGCGUACCUUUUGUAUAAUGGGUCAGCGACUUAUAUUCUGUAGCAAGGUUAACCGCAUAAGGGAGCCGUAGGGAAACCGAGUCUUAACUGGGCGUUAAGUUGCAGGGUAUAGACCCGAAACCCGGUGAUCUAGCCAUGGGCAGGUUGAAG